GCAUGGUGGGGCAGUUGGUAGCACUGUUGCCUUGCACCAAGAAGGUCCUGGGUUUGAAUCCCAGCCUUGGGUCU